CCUAGGAGCGUGCGUCACUCGUCUCUGCUUCUUCUCCUUCUUUCUCUCUCCUGUCGCCGAGCUCUGUUUGGACGGAGGGAAAGUGAGAGAAUUUCACGACCUAGCCAGAAAAAGUACAGAGAGAGUGAGAGAGAAGGAGAAGCUGCAAUGGCGUCGUCGUCUCGGAAAUGGACCAGUGUUUUCCUCGCUGUGCUCCUCGUCCUUGUCAUCUGCGCUCUGGCAGCGAAGAAUCUCCAAAACAACGAAAUAUCUCGCUCCAGGUCUCUCUCUCUCCUUCUGUCUCCAUUGAUGUUCAUUCUCUCUCUGAUGGUGAUGCAGUGUCCAUUUUCGGGUCAAGCCACGUCUGGAUUGAUCACAACUCCCUCUCAAACUGUGCCGAUGGACUUGUCGACGCUGCCAUUGCCAUUUCCAGGUCAUGUUGCUAGGGCACAGCGACUCGUACACAAGGGACAGGCAGAUGCAAGUGACCAUUGCUUACAACCAUUUUGGAGAGGGACUGGUCCAGAGGAUGCCGAGGUAAAACCUGAUGUGCAGGCACGGGUAUUUUCAUGUGGUGAACAACGAUAAAACAUACUGGGAGAUGUAUGCCAUAGGUGGAAGUGCAGAACCCACCAUCAACAGCCAGGGGAAUCGAUACUCGGCACCCGAUAACCGCUUCGCCAAGGAGGUGAGAAGAGGGUAGAGAUUGGAAGGGGUUUUUAUCAAAAAUACCCCUAUUAUGCUGCAAAGAAGACUUCAAGGCAUACCCCUGCAAAAAUAAAAAUAAAAAGGUUUUAAAGGGUAUAUCAUGAAGUCUUUGUAGCAAAGUAAAGGUACUUUUGCUAUUUUGCCGAUUGGAAGAGAUGGAACUCGAGGUCGGAAGGAGACCUUCUACUCAACGGAGCAUUCUUCAACCAGCUACGCACGUGCGUUAAGCUUGACGGCUAAGCCUUCGUCCAUGGUCGGGACUAUAACCUCUACUGCCGGAGCUCUCCACUGCCAAAAGGGCAGAACCCCCUCCACACUCUAAAAACAUUUCCUUACAUGCACACUGGUUUUCUUCUUCUUCUUGAGUUUUUGUUUUCUUUUUGGUUUCACUGGUUCAACCUUAACCUUGUGGUAGAGAGGAAGGUAGCAGCCUCUGGCUUUUGCUUCUCAGUAGGAAAGGUGGAACAUUUUCCAACGUUGUACGAUGAGGAGGAGAAGGCGCAGAAGCGUUGUUCAAUUAGUUUUUAUGUUGUU